rfam:Schistosoma mansoni strain Puerto Rico chromosome 4, complete genome
UCACUGCUGAAGAGUCCCAUAAUAGGACGAAGCGGCCAUCCAGUAC